AUUGAACGCCGGCGGCAUGCUUUACACAUGCAAGUCGAACGGUAACAGGGUGCUUGCACCGCUGACGAGCGGCGAACGGGUGAGUCAUUCGUCGGAACGUGCCGAGUAGUGGGGGAUAACGCAGCGAAAGUUGUGCUAAUACCGCAUACGUACUGAGGUAGAAAGUGGGUACCUUCGGGCCUCACGCUAUUCGAGCGGCCGACGUCUGAUAAGCUAGUAGGUGAGGUAAAGGCUCACCUAGGCGACGAUCAGUAGCGGGUCUGAGAGGAUGAUCCGCCACACUGGGACUGAGACACGGCCCAGACUCCUACGGGAGGCAGCAGUGGGGAAUUUUGGACAAUGGGCGAAAGCCUGAUCCAGCCAUGCCGCGUGUCUGAAGAAGGCCUUCGGGUUGUAAAGGACUUUUGUCAGGGAGGAAAUCCCUAGUGCUAAUAACACUGGGGAUGACAGUACCUGAAGAAUAAGCACCGGCUAACUACGUGCCAGCAGCCGCCGUAA
rnacentral:rRNA from 1 species